rnacentral:misc_RNA from 1 species
UAAGGUAGUACAAUUCAAUAAUAAAAAAUCAUGGAAGUUCAUAUAAAUGGAUAAAUUCUCGAAGGGUCGGACAAGUUCCCACACUUUUUGGGCUUUCCCUGUCCAUUAUCAAAACCAUCUUCUCCUCACACAAACUAAUCAAUGAAUGAUGAAAGAAAGAAGAAUAAUUGUAGAAAAUGAAUUGAAUUACAACAUCACUAACGCUGCAGAAUAGACUCAACGAGCUCAUAGAGAGGUGCAAGCUCUGCCUUGUCAAUUAAGCGGAACUCCCAUGUGAACAGAACAAAGUGCUUAAAGCAAGUAUUCAUAUGAGCUUCUUCUUUUAGACUGAUAAUCUUUUGGAAAUGUGAAUGAUAGAUAUGAGCAUAUACACGAAAUAAUCGCUUAAAUAUUGUCUUCACAACAUCCUGGAAGUUAGACGGAAAUGGCGCACCCAAAUUUUGGGGAAAAAUUGAUUCAUCAUCUAGCUGAGUUUCUAUCCAACCCAUCAAAUAAUCCACAUAUUUUGGUGCAGAAACUUCUAUGGGUUUCUUUAUAUUAACGCCGUCGGCCCAACGAUACUCGUACUUUGGCCCUGCAGACAUUGUCGGGCAGCUCGAUGGGGUGCAGAAUUCCGUGAGAGUUCCAUACAAGAUAUUCACUUGGUUGAAAAAGUCAACAGUAUUUACAGCAAGCCACUCGUGAAGAUCUUCUCCAGGCGGUAGGCGUACUGCUUCCCUCAAAUUCCCACUACCUAAAGUAGCAUCAAUAUGUUUCUUACUUCCUGAUUGAGCACUCUUUUUAGGACGAAAAGUCUUGUGGUUUCUG